rnacentral:rRNA from 1 species
UACCAGCUCUCCGAGUUGUAGGGAUGAUUAUUGGGCUUAAAGCGUCCGUAGCCGGCUUAGCAAGUCUCCUGUUAAAUUCAGCGACCUAAUCGUUGAGCCGCGGGAGAUACUACUAGGCUAGGAGGCGGGAGAGGUCGACGGUACUUUCGGGGUAGGGGUGAAAUCCUAUAAUCCCGGGAGGACCACCAGUGGCGAAGGCUGUCGACUAGAACGCGCUCGACGGUGAGGGACGAAAGCUGGGGGAGCGAACCGGAUUAGAUACCCGGGUAGUCCCAGCUGUAAACGAUGCGGGCUAGGUGUUGGGGUGGCUACGGGCCACUUCAGUGCCGCAGGGAAGCCAUUAAGCCCGCCGCCUGGGGAGUACGGCCGCAAGGCUGAAACUUAAAGGAAUUGGCGGGGGAGCACCACAAGGCGUGAAGCUUGCGGUUC